CCGAGUUUACAACUCCCAAACCCCUGUGAACAUACCUUUAUGUUGCCUCGGCGGAUCAGCCCCGCGCCCCGUAAAACGGGGACGGCCCGCCGCAGGAAACCCUAAAACUCUGUUUUUUAGUGGAAACUUCUGAGUAUAAAAAAACAAAUAAAUCA
rnacentral:misc_RNA from 1 species